rnacentral:rRNA from 1 species
GGGACACGUGGUAUCCUGUCUGAAUAUGGGGGGACCAUCCUCCAAGGCUAAAUACUCCUGACUGACCGAUAGUGAACCAGUACCGUGAGGGAAAGGCGAAAAGAACCCCGGCGAGGGGAGUGAAAAAGAACCUGAAACCGUGUACGUACAAGCAGUGGGAGCACGCUUAGGCGUGUGACUGCGUACCUUUUGUAUAAUGGGUCAGCGACUUAUAUUCUGUAGCAAGGUUAACCGAAUAGGGGAGCCGAAGGGAAACCGAGUCUUAACUGGGCGUUAAGUUGCAGGGUAUAGACCCGAAACCCGGUGAUCUAGCCAUGGGCAGGUUGAAGGUUGGGUAACACUAACUGGAGGACCGAACCGACUAAUGUUGAAAAAUUAGCGGAUGACUUGUGGCUGGGGGUGAAAGGCCAAUCAAACCGGGAGAUAGCUGGUUCUCCCCGAAAGCUAUUUAGGUAGCGCCUCGUGAAUUCAUCUCCGGGGGUAGAGCACUGUUUCGGCAAGGGGGUCAUCCCGACUUACCAACCCGAUGCAAACUGCGAAUACCGGAGAAUGUUAUCACGGGAGACACACGGCGGGUGCUAACGUCCGUCGUGAAGAGGGAAACAACCCAGACCGCCAGCUAAGGUCCCAAAGUCAUGGUUAAGUGGGAAACGAUGUGGGAAGGCCCAGACAGCCAGGAUGUUGGCUUAGAAGCAGCCAUCAUUUAAAGAAAGCGUAAUAGCUCACUGGUCGAGUCGGCCUGCGCGGAAGAUGUAACGGGGCUAAACCAUGCACCGAAGCUGCGGCAGCGACGCUGAUGCGUUGUUGGGUAGGGGAGCGUUCUGUAAGCCUGCGAAGGUGUGCUGUGAGGCAUGCUGGAGGUAUCAGAAGUGCGAAUGCUGACAUAAGUAACGAUAAAGCGGGUGAAAAGCCCGCUCGCCGGAAGACCAAGGGUUCCUGUCCAACGUUAAUCGGGGCAGGGUGAGUCGACCCCUAAGGCGAGGCCGAAAGGCGUAGUCGAUGGGAAACAGGUUAAUAUUCCUGUACUUGGUGUUACUGCGAAGGGGGGACGGAGAAGGCUAUGUUGGCCGGGCGACGGUUGUCCCGGUUUAAGCGUGUAGGCUGGUUUUCCAGGCAAAUCCGGAAAAUCAAGGCUGAGGCGUGAUGACGAGGCACUACGGUGCUGAAGCAACAAAUGCCCUGCUUCCAGGAAAAGCCUCUAAGCAUCAGGUAACAUCAAAUCGUACCCCAAACCGACACAGGUGGUCAGGUAGAGAAUACCAAGGCGCUUGAGAGAACUCGGGUGAAGGAACUAGGCAAAAUGGUGCCGUAACUUCGGGAGAAGGCACGCUGAUAUGUAGGUGAAGCGACUUGCUCGUGGAGCUGAAAUCAGUCGAAGAUACCAGCUGGCUGCAACUGUUUAUUAAAAACACAGCACUGUGCAAACACGAAAGUGGACGUAUACGGUGUGACGCCUGCCCGGUGCCGGAAGGUUAAUUGAUGGGGUCAGCGCAAGCGAAGCUCUUGAUCGAAGCCCCGGUAAACGGCGGCCGUAACUAUAACGGUCCUAAGGUAGCGAAAUUCCUUGUCGGGUAAGUUCCGACCUGCACGAAUGGCGUAAUGAUGGCCAGGCUGUCUCCACCCGAGACUCAGUGAAAUUGAACUCGCUGUGAAGAUGCAGUGUACCCGCGGCAAGACGGAAAGACCCCGUGAACCUUUACUAUAGCUUGACACUGAACAUUGAGCCUUGAUGUGUAGGAUAGGUGGGAGGCUUGGAAGUGUGGACGCCAGUCUGCAUGGAGCCGACCUUGAAAUACCACCCUUUAAUGUUUGAUGUUCUAACGUGGACCCGU